CCCCUAGAUGUUCUGGGCCGCACGCGCGCUACACUGAACAGUUCAACAAGUCUUAACCUUGGCCGAUAGGUCUGGGUAAUCUUUGAACGCUGUUCGUGAUUGGGAUAGUCCUUUGCAAUUAUGGGUCUUCAACGAGGAAUUCCUAGUAAACGCAAGUCAUCAGCUUGCAUUGAUUACGUCCCUGCCCUUUGUACACACCGCCCGUCGCACCUACCGAUUGAAUGGUCCGGUGAAAUCUCGGGACGGCGGCUUGGUCGCUUGCGUCCGACUGCUGAAACUUGAUUAAACCAUAUCAUUUAGAGGAAGGUGAAGUCGUAACA
rnacentral:rRNA from 1 species